rnacentral:rRNA from 1 species
AGCGAACGCUGGCGGCAGGCCUAACACAUGCAAGUCGAACGAACUCUUCGGAGUUAGUGGCGGACGGGUGAGUAACACGUGGGAACGUGCCUUUUGGUUCGGAAUAACUCAGGGAAACUUGUGCUAAUACCGAAUGUGCCCUUCGGGGGAAAGAUUUAUCGCCCUUAGAGCGGCCCGCGUCUGAUUAGCUAGUUGGUGAGGUAACGGCUCACCAAGGCGACGAUCAGUAGCUGGUCUGAGAGGAUGACCAGCCACACUGGGACUGGGACACGGCCCAGACUCCUACGGGAGGCAGCAAUGGCGAAUCUUGCGCUAUGGGCUAAAGCCUGACGCAGCCAUGCCGCGUGAAUGAUUAAGGUCUUAGGAUUGUAAAAUUCUUUCACCGGGGACGAUAAUGACGGUACCCGGAGAAGAAGCCCCGGCUAACUUCGUG